AGCGAACGCUGGCGGCAGGCCUAACACAUGCAAGUCGAACGAACUCUUCGGAGUUAGUGGCGGACGGGUGAGUAACACGUGGGAACGUGCCUUUAGGUUCGGAAUAACUCAGGGAAACUUGUGCUAAUACCGAAUGUGCCCUUCGGGGGAAAGAUUUAUCGCCUUUAGAGCGGCCCGCGUCUGAUUAGCUAGUUGGUGAGGUAAAGGCUCACCAAGGCGACGAUCAGUAGCUGGUCUGAGCGGAUGAUCAGCCACAUUGAGACAGAGACACGGCCCAAACUCCUACAGGAGGCGGCAGUGGGGAAUCUUGCGCAAUGGGCGGAAGCCUGACGCAGCCAUGCCGCGUGAAUGAUGAAGGUCUUAGGAUUGUAAAAUUCUUUAACAGGGGACGAUAAUGACGGUACCCGGAGAAGAAGCCCCGGCUAACUUCGUG
rnacentral:rRNA from 1 species